UGGUCAAUGAUGAGAACUCAUAUUGUUUCGAAGAGAGAUGAUGACCUAAAAUUCAAGCUCAAUAGGAUUACGCUGAGGCCC
ensembl:snoRNA SNORD115 Small nucleolar RNA SNORD115